GUACACUCCUACGGGAGGCAGCAGUGGGGAAUAUUGCACAAUGGGCGCAAGCCUGAUGCAGCCAUGCCGCGUGUGUGAAGAAGGCCUUCGGGUUGUAAAGCACUUUCAGCGGGGAGGAAGGCGAUACGGUUAAUAACCGUGUUGAUUGACGUUACCCGCAGAAGAAGCACCGGCUAACUCCGUGCCAGCAGCCGCGGUAAUACGGAGGGUGCAAGCGUUAAUCGGAAUUACUGGGCGUAAAGCGCACGCAGGCGGUCUGUCAAGUCGGAUGUGAAAUCCCCGGGCUCAACCUGGGAACUGCAUUCGAAACUGGCAGGCUUGAGUCUUGUAGAGGGGGGUAGAAUUCCAGGUGUAGCGGUGAAAUGCGUAGAGAUCUGGAGGAAUACCGGUGGCGAAGGCGGCCCCCUGGACAAAGACUGACGCUCAGGUGCGAAAGCGUGGGGAGCAAACAGGAUUAGAUACCCCGGUAGUCCCAU
rnacentral:rRNA from 1 species